UACGGGGGGAGCAAGCGUUGUUCGGAUUUACUGGGCGUAAAGAGCGUGUAGGCGGCCAAGCAGGUCCGUUGUGAAAACUGGAGGCUCAACCUCCAGCUGUCGACGGAAACCGUAUGGCUAGAGUCCGGAAGAGGAGAGUGGAAUUCCUGGUGUAGCGGUGAAAUGCGCAGAUAUCAGGAAGAACACCAAUGGCGAAGGCAGCUCUCUGGGACGGUACUGACGCUGAGACGCGAAAGCGUGGGGAGCGAACAGG
rnacentral:rRNA from 1 species